rnacentral:rRNA from 1 species
AUUGAACGCUGGCGGCAGGCCUAACACAUGCAAGUCGAGCGGAGCGGCAGACGGGUGCGUAAUGCCUAGGAAUCUGAAUGGUAGUGGGGGAUAACGUCAGGAAACGGACGCUAAUACCGCAUACUAUUAGAUGAGCCUAGGUGGGAUUAGCUAGUUGGUGGGGUAAAGGCCUACCAAGGCGACGAUCCUUAACUGGGCUGAGAGGAUGAUCAGUCACACUGGAACUGAGACACGGUCCAGACUCCUACGGGAGGCAGCAGUGGGGAAUAUUGGACAAUGGGCGAAAGCCUGAUACAGCCAUGCCGCGUGUGUGAAGAAGGUCUUCGGAUUGUAAAGCACUUUAAGUUGGGAGGCGUUACCAACAGAAUAAGCACCGGCUAACUACGUGCCAGCAGCCGCGGUAAUAC